AAGAGCUACCCGAGUGCAAAGGGGAUAAGAAGACCAAGGAUUUUUCCGCUGGAUGUUGACUAUUAGAUAUUGGAAAUGGUGGGAAGAGAUUAUCUUCUUCCCCGGACGACGGGAUGCAGCGCAUGGGUGAAGGGAGCGCUUGAUUGUGCGGGCGGAAAGAUGCAGAGAGACGGUCGUCGCCUAGACUGUGAAUGCUGUAGCCACUGAAGUGCAUUUUCAAUUACUAAAUUAUACACCCGUGAUCAAAAGAAGGAAAGUGGUAUGUAUAUUUUAAAAGCAAGUUUGCAAGUAGGCUACACGUUUGCUUGGGUUUGACCACGAGCUGCAUAAUAGAGAUCGGUCGGAUGGUAAAAGAAGCAACAUUCCACGAAAGCGGCUAAAAUGCUACGGAUCCGAGGGGAUGUAUUUGUGUUUCGCCGUCGAGCAAGAAACUAAACAGGGAAAAGUCUUGAAGAAAAGUUAAUCUGCUCCCUUGGCAGCUGUUAGCUUUUUGGAGUCUGGAAGCGUCACCUUUGACAUGUCUCCUAUUCAGAGGAAGAGGCUCCAAGCACUGACCACGGCAAGCUGUCAUCGGAGAGGGGAGAGAGGACGCCUUCUUCACAGCACAAACUGUCCUUUCAACGUCAUCAAAAGUUACCAAAUUUGCUUGAUGCUCGGACAAUAGACCCGAGGAUGACUGCUGGAGGUCAAAUCUCGCUGUGAUACUGACGUGUGUCUACUUGAAAAGAAACAUCAUGAUAUUGUAAUUGAAUGCUUUUAAACUAAAAUGUAACUUGUUGCAAAGACCAUUAAGGCAUUGUGUAAUAUCAAAUUGAAUAUUUUGUAGAAAGGGAAAAAUUGGCAUGAAUGUACAAAGUCCAACAAUCCUGAAAUAAGUUGUUACAUAGGUCUGAGAUCUGAGUAACAUUUCGUGUCAAUACUUGCUUAAGACAUAUCUGUACUGUUGUUGUUUGUUUUUUUGUUUCUUUCAUUAGCCUACAUUGCAUUUGUUGACAGUUGAUAUGAUCUUUCUGUGAAACUGUUAUGCUGUUUACUAUCUGCGUCAAUUUGGACGCAAUAAAAACAAAUACAAUUGCUGUAUAUGAUGUUUAUCACUGUUUUAAAAUGGAUCCAAAUUA